UACGUAGGGGGCAAGCGUUGUCCGGAUUUAUUGGGCGUAAAGAGCGUGUAGGCGGCCAGGUAGGUCCGUUGUGAAAACUGGAGGCUUAACCUCCAGCUGUCGAUGGAAACCAUCUGGCUAGAGUCCGGAAGAGGAGAGUGGAAUUCCUGGUGUAGCGGUGAAAUGCGCAGAUAUCAGGAAGAACACCGAUGGCGAAGGCGGCUCUCUAGUACGGUACUGACGCUGAGACGCGAAAGCGUGGGGAGCGAACAGG
rnacentral:rRNA from 1 species